CACCGCCACCGCCGCCAGCAGGUCGCAGGGCUGCAGGCCGCGGUUUGCCAAGCAGCAUCUCCAUCAGCGCGUGCCGCAUGUUUGUAGCCGAGUUGGCAUCGCGGCCCUGCAGUUCAACAUGCAAACAGGGCGUGUGUCAUCCCAUGUGUCAUCCCGUGUGUCACCCCGUAUCAUCUCCAAACCGCCCUGUGUCAUCCCGUGUCAUCCCGUGUCAUCAUCUCCAAACCGACCUGCCGCCCCAAACCUGGUAGAAAAAGCGCUCCUCCAAGGCUUUGUCCAAGGCCUGUCAGGCCUGUGGAGCCAUCAGCAUCAGGACAAGUGUUCCCCGGUCACGGGAAAAGGGGCUGAGCCCCUCCACAGUCUGAGGCCGAACAACCUCAUCGCCCGGACAUAGCCGGGGUCGGUUUCCACAGGCACAUAGCCAAACUAGGUGCCUAUCUAGCAGUCGCGAUGCCACAGCAGAGCCAACCGUAGCCAGACGCAGCACAGUUGUCAACAGCCGCACUACUUGUCAUGCCGCAACGCAUGCCCUGCCAGCCCCACCGCAGACCGCUACUUAGACACCGCCAGCCGGCUCCUCAGCCUGCGCGCUUGCGCCGCUUCUUCGGCUGCGCUGCGCUCUCCUCCUCCACGUGGCCUUUCCCGCCCCUCCGCUACCAAGAUGCGCGCACGCGCCGCCGC
rnacentral:lncRNA from 1 species